rnacentral:rRNA from 1 species
CCUAACACAUGCAAGUCGAGCGAUUUACUUCCUUAAAGAGCGGCGGACGGGUGAGUAACGCGUGGGUAACCUGCCCUGUACACACGGAUAACAUACCGAAAGGUAUGCUAAUACGGGAUAAUAUGAGAGAGUCGCAUGGCUUUCUUAUCAAAGCUUUUGCGGUAUAGGAUGGACCCGCGUCUGAUUAGCUAGUUGGUAAGGUAACGGCUUACCAAGGCGACGAUCAGUAGCCGACCUGAGAGGGUGAUCGGCCACAUUGGAACUGAGACACGGUCCAAACUCCUACGGGAGGCAGCAGUGGGGAAUAUUGCACAAUGGGCGAAAGCCUGAUGCAGCAACGCCGCGUGAGCGAUGAAGGCCUUCGGGUCGUAAAGCUCUGUCCUCAAGGAAGAUAAUGACGGUACUUGAGGAGGAAGCCCCGGCUAACUACGUGCCAGCAGCCGCGGUAAUACGUAGGGGGCUAGCGUUAUCCGGAAUUACUGGGCGUAAAGGGUGCGUAGGUGGUUUCUUAAGUCAGAAGUGAAAGGCUACGGCUCAACCGUAGUAAGCUUUUGAAACUGAGAAACUUGAGUGCAGGAGAGGAGAGUAGAAUUCCUAGUGUAGCGGUGAAAUGCGUAGAUAUUAGGAGGAAUACCAGUUGCGAAGGCGGCUCUCUGGACUGUAACUGACACUGAGGCACGAAAGCGUGGGGAGCAAACAGGAUUAGAUACCCUGGUAGUCCACGCCGUANACGAUGAGUACUAGCUGUCGGAGGUUACCCCCUUCGGUGGCGCAGCUAACGCAUUAAGUACUCCGCCUGGGAAGUACGCUCGCAAGAGUGAAACUCA